rnacentral:rRNA from 1 species
UACGGGGGGGGGUAAGCGUUGUUCGGAAUUACUGGGCGUAAAGGCUCGUAGGCGGCCAACUAAGUCAUACGUGAAAUCCCUCAGCUUAACUGGGGAACUGCGUGUGAUACUGGAUGGCUUGGAUUUGGGAGAGGGAUGCGGAAUUCCAGGUGUAGCGGUGAAAAUGCGUAGAUAUCUGGAGGAACACCGGUGGCGAAGGCGGCAUCCUGGACCAAUAUUGACGCUGAGGAGCGAAAGCCAGGGGAGCAAACGGG